AACGAACGCUGGCGGCGUGCCUAACACAUGCAAGUCGUGCGAGAAAGUUCCUUCGGGAGCGAGUAAAGCGGCGCACGGGUGAGUAACACGUAGGUAACCUGCCCCCCAGUCUGGAACAACUAGAGGAAACUCUAGCUAAUGCCGGAUGAGACCACGAUCCCUUCGGGGGCUGCGGCCAAAGAUGGCCUCUACUUGUAAGCUAUCGCUGAGGGAUGGGCCUGCGGGCCAUUAGCUUGUUGGUGAGGUAACGGCUCACCAAGGCUGUGAUGGCUAGCUGGUCUGAGAGGAUGACCAGCCACACUGGGACUGAGACACGGCCCAGACUCCUACGGGAGGCAGCAGUGGGAAUAUUGCGCAAUGGGCGAAAGCCUGACGCAGCGACGCCGCGUGGGUGAUGAAGGCCUCGGUCGUAAAGCCGUGUCGCGAGGGAAGGAAUAA
rnacentral:rRNA from 1 species